GGCCCAGAGGCGAAAUGGAUUCGCGCUUGCAUGCAAUGAAUGGCGAGUUAAGUUUGUUGAUCAAGAGGGCGUCUGUUCGAAUCAGACCUGGGCCA